rnacentral:rRNA from 1 species
AAAUGAAUAGACGGGGGCCCGCACAAGCGGAGGAGCAUGUGGCUUAAUUCGAUGCAACGCGAAGAACCUUACCCGGGUUUGACAUGUGACUGCUAAUCCUAUGAAAGUAGGACUCCUUCGAGGGUGUCACACAGGUGCUGCAUGGCUGUCGUCAGUUCGUGCCGUGAGGUGUUUGGUUAAGUCCAGCAACGAACGCAACCCCUAUGUCCAGUUGCCAGCGGGUAAUGCCGGGGACUCAGGACAGACUGCCUGUUUACACAGGAGGAAGGUGGGGACGACGUCAAGUCAGUAUGGCCCUUACGCCCGGGGCUGCACACGUGCUACAAUGGCCGGCACAAAAGGAAGCAAAGCCGCAAGGUGGAGCAAAACCCCAGAACCGGCCCCAGUUCAGAUUGCGGUCUGCAACCCGACCGCAUGAAGUCGGAUUCGCUAGUAACGGCGCAUCAGCUACGGCGCCGUGAAUACGUUCCCGGGCCUUGUACACACCGCCCGU